GUCUCAAUAGCUAAGUGGUAUAGCAUGCGAUUGCAGUUGUUCCCAAUCUAUCGCAGGGUCCGGUGUUCGAACCACCGUUGGGACU
rnacentral:tRNA from 1 species